GCAUGAAAAGGAGAGAGGUACACGGAGAUGUAUAUUCUCAGUUCCACAGCCUGUGGCAGAGAGCUUGGUUGUGCCAGAAUAACACAGGACAGUCCUGGUCCAAAGUCUGAGCCCAGAGCGUGGGCCGGACAGCAUGUCGGAUUCUGAAGCCAAAGUAAACUCCAAAAAAGCUGGCAUUCGGGCUGCUGUCAUUCUGAUAGGACUACUGCACAAGUCCAGACGGCAGAAGGAGAGAGAGAGGGAGAAAAGAAAUGAACGGAAACAAGAGUUGCUAACCAUUUCCAGUGUGCCUCUGGGAGAAUGUCCACCCUCACCCCCCCAAACUGCACCACCAACCAUGAAGUCGGCAGAGUUCUUCGACAUGCUGGAAAGGAUGCAGAUUCCCAAAACUGAGGAGACUAAGAAAUACAAGGAUGACUACAUCCCAUACCCCCGGAUAGAGGAUGUCCUGGAGAAGGGAGGUCCCUACCCUCAGGUCAUUUUACCUCAGUUUGGCGGUUACUGGAUCGAGGAUCCCGAAGCCCCAGUCGGGACACCCACUUCCUCAGAGAGCAGCUUUUGUGAGGAGGAGGAUGACGGUCUGAGUCCUGGUGGAGGAGGAGGCUUUGGAUAUCGGCUGGAAUGUAACAGCGCUUCACGGGCUUACCGCAAACACUUUCUGGGCAAGGAGCACAUGAACUAUUACUGCACUGCCAGUAGUAUGGGCCAUCUCAUCAUGUCUUUGAAGUAUGAGGACGGAGAUGGACUGGAGUCACUCCGUAUCAUGCUCAGGUCAAAAACAAAGACCCUUCAUGAACGAAUUCCACUCGAAGGCCUGUCACAGUUACCAAGUGUACCACAGAUAGCCAAGCUGCUCUGCGAUGACGUCACAGGUCUAAAGUUCAACCCUGUUCUCUACCCUAGGGCCUCGCAACUGAUCGUUGGAUUUGAUGAGCACGAAGUGAACAACACUUUCAAGUUUGGCAUGAUCUAUCAGAAGUUUGGUCAGACAUCAGAAGAAGAGCUAUUUGGGAACAAUGAGGAGACGCCAGCGUUCGCUGAAUUCCUCAGUGUUUUAGGAGACAAUAUUGAACUGCAGGAUUUUAAAGGGUUCAGAGGCGGAUUGGAUGUUUCUCAUGGGCAGACUGGAUCUGAGUCUGUCUAUACUAUGUUCCGUCAGAGAGAAAUAAUGUUCCAUGUUUCCACAAAACUCCCCUUUACAGAAGGAGACAUUCAGCAGCUCCAAAGGAAAAGACAUAUUGGCAAUGACAUCGUCGCUGCCGUCUUUCAGGAGGAGCCCACGCCAUUCGUACCUGAUAUAAUCGCAUCCAACUUCCUUCAUGCCUACAUAUUAGUGCAGGCAGAAAACCCUUGCACUGACCAUACCACAUACAAGGUGUCUGUCACAGCUCGAGAGGAUGUACCUCCAUUUGGCCCCCCUCUGCCAAACCCUCCAGUCUUUAAGAAGGGACCUGAGUUCCGGGAAUUUCUGCUGGCAAAAUUGAUUAAUGCAGAAAAUGCUUGUUACAAAUCAGACAAAUUCGCCAAGCUAGAGGAGAGGACACGGGCGGCAUUGUUAGAUAACCUUCAUGAUGAACUGCACAGACAGACACAGGCCACGAUAGGACUGGGCUCAGCUACAGAAGAAGAAAAACUAGAAAAUGGAGGUCAUGGAGGUCUUCUGGAAUCAUUUAAGAGGGCUAUGCGUGUGAGGAGUCACUCUAUGGAGACAAUGGUGUCUCAUAAACACAAGAGUCCAGGAGCCACAGCAGGGGUCCCAUCCAGCUUCAGUGGUGGAGGACUUCAGCAGAAUAGUAUGGAGUGUACCAAGAGCACCUUCACUCCUCCAGUGCUGUCUGCAAAGUCUCCUUUAAAGAGUCCAGUAAAGAAGAGAUCUGGUCUGUUACCCAGACUGCACUCCAGCUCAGAGAGUCCAACUGAGAAACACCCAACUCGCGGUGACCAAAAAUCAGAAGUGUUCCCUCACUCACAGGAAAUGAGAUCAGAGACAUCAUCCAAUCCGAGUUCACCAGAGAUCUGCCCUAACAAAGAAAGGCCAUAUAUGAAGCUGAAAGAGUGCAGCGGAAGAGCCAAUAUCUCCCGAUCCUCCUCCAGCACCAGCAGCUUCAGCAGCACAGCGGGAGAUGGAGACGGCCUGGAGGAACUAGACACGUCACCCAUCCACAGCCUCAUCUGUGUACAGUCCAUCUCUCAGUGUGGAAAGCCAGAACUCCGGAACGCCACUGAUCAUGUGCCGUAGUCCCACAGAUGGAAAGAGCAAAACUUCACCAAGGUCAAACUUGAAAUUCCGCUUUGACAAACUGAGCCACUCCACAGUCUGAAUGAUGAUGUUCUACUGAAAACAGCAUUAUAGGUCAUUAGGUCACACAAAAGGCUGCAAGGUCAAAAGGCAGUGACUUUGAACAGAUUUUUAUAGAUUCAUAUGCAAAAGGGACCCUUUUCUUUAGAUGAUGCAACAGUUAUUACUGUUACAAGUAUAAUACACAACUGAACACUAUAAAAACUGAUCAUAGAACUACCGUCCUACAAACCCACACACAAUGACAAGGGUUUAGGGGACAGAACACAAGUCUUACUAGAAAUAGCAACAAAUGUCUCUGUUUCAGCUAUUUAAAUGUAGUACUGCUCAUACAAGUGUUCAAACUAUCCAUUGCUUUCUAGACAGAUGCUAAAUAUUAACACAGCCACUUGAAAUACUUGAACAGCACACAGUCAUUACAUGUUACAAGAGAUAAGGACUACAAAACUGCAUUAUAAGCACCCAAAACUGUACAGUCACUAUUUAGUCUUAAUUACGGGUCAUUUUGAGUCUUGUAACACAUUGCCCAUCAGUGUAAGCCUUAAAACAUUACGCUCUUCUGACACAGACAUGGAUUUGUUUGUUUUUUUAUUUGUGAGUAAUGUGAGAAGAGGUGCAAUUCACUUUUCCCAAAGGUAACCAAAGAGGAAGAUUACCAGAGUGGUAUAAAGGGAAAUGUUUUAACAAGAAAAAGACACGCUUUAUUAUAUAUUUUAAAGCAAAAUAGGUCUAUUUAAUACAUUUCAACGUACGUUUAGACUGCCGUAGAAAUAAAGGCUUUACAGUAUAUUUGAUCAACACUGAGUUGUGGAUGUUCCAAAAUUAAUUUCAAAUUCAUAGAUCCACAGCUGGUAGAAGGAAAUUUUGUGCCUGAUCUCAUGAAAAUUAUGUGACUGUAGUGACAUUUUUGCAAAAUUAUAUUACGUGGGUACUCCAUGUACUUCAUAUCAUGACAGUUCCAAAGGUGAAAUGUCCACUGUGUGGCAUUAAAAGUGAGUAAAAUUUUCUCUCAAACAGAUGAGGGUCUCUAUGUUCGUGAGUGGUCAAAGCCCUGUGCGUCUUAUACAAUUUUCGUGAGAGCAUUAAUUCUAAGUGCAAUUUUCGUGCCAGUGCAAAGUGCAAGUGGGCAUGGGUGGGAGUGUUUGCACUAUCUGUGGGUGUAUGCGCGCAAACUUUGGGCGUAUUGGAUGACAUUGAAGUGGCGCAAAGCACAAUUUUCUCUUUUCCUGAGAAAUAGGCCAUUGCGCUAAGACGUGUCAAAAGCACGUUUUAUCUCAGCGCGAAGUCCAAACUAAGUUCCUACAUUUGCAGUUUGGAGAUUCCACCAGCAGGUGGUAAUAAAGUUUGUCCAAACUCUGAACAUAUAGUGGAACAUCAAAUUAUGUCCCUGACAAUCACUGUUGGAGCCGUUUUAUGAAACACAUAUUUAUGAAAUUUGUGUUAAACUCUGUAGGUCAUGGUUUAUUUUUCAAUUAUUAUUAUUAUUAUGUUUAUAUUUACAGUUGUAUUUAUGAUCUAAGUUGUAUUGGUAUUUUUCCACCUGUUGUCGCAGAGUGAUUUUUAAGUCACUGCAAAAGGGGCAGAAGAAGUUGAAGAGAGUAAAAUGUUUGGAUUUGGUAUGAUUUUUUUUUUUUUUACCACUUAAUUAUUUUGAUUAUAUUUUUGUUUCAUUUGAGUUUAAUUUUCAUUUAGAAAUAUUUUUGGUUUAAUUUGUUCGUGUUUCAUUAAAUGAAUUUAAUUUUUCAAAAUCGACUGGUAGUAGGGUGUUCUGAUACAAUCACUGUUAAUACUAGCCGUGGUUUGUGUGUCAGUAGAUGAAAAUGAUUAAUAAUACUUACAUUCUCUAUAAUUUAACUGAGCGUAAAUCCAAAUCCUGACGAGAACCAUAUUUUCCAUGCGUAUAGGAGCAUGUCACUGUCAUAGAAAUAUGCCUGACAUAUGCAGACGUGUUGGAGAAGAAACUCAGAAUUAAAUUGCACUUGACCCAGCCCAUUAGCGCUUUGCACGCAACAUUUCGCCAAAUCCACUUGCGCCUAGACUUGCAUGAAAAACCAAAACUUCAUUGCCAUGCCCAUUGACUUUGCACAUACUGUAUGACUUUUGGAAUAGCGCUUAUUGCUAGUGCUCUUAAAAUAGGUCCAGAGGUUUUUAAGGUUAAUGCUCUAUCAAAUUUUAAACUUGAAAAACACAAUUUCUGAAGCAACCAUGUCAUUUUGUGGUGCUUCUAUAACACAGCUUGUAAAUAUUGUUGGUUAUGUAAUUCAAACUUUAAAAUAUAUCACCUUAAAAGUCAUGUGCUAAAGUAAAAGUGUUCUGAUGUCAUAAGAUGGCAUUGUGUUAGGAACAGUGUGAAAAGUAUGUGUUUAUGAACUGAUAAAAUGUCCCUUUACUCGUGAUUUGUAUGAAAGGGAAUAAAUUGUCGUUUUAGCACCUCUAGUGUUUAUCUCACCAGGAAACUGCUGUGAUACGUACAACGAGCCACGUAAAAAGCAUUUUGGGAAAAUGGCGGUAUAUUAAUGUAAUUCUGAGACCAGGUCGCAUUUUUUUUUAAUUAGGUAUAAUUUAUUUGCAUUUGUGUGUAUUUUGCAUUUCCCAUUCCUCAGAAUUCAGUUUGUUGUAAACAGUGAUACUCAUUGGUGAGGGCAUUAGAACUGAGAGCGAGUUAAAUAUUCUUGUAUAAUAGUGAGAACUUUGUUUGAUAUAAAAGGUGUUGGCAUAUAUGUUUGUACUGCCAUAAUUUAUUGCUUUUGUUGAUGUUACGUUAAGUAUAAUUGCAGAGUAUGCAGAGAGUCAAAUACAUUAAGAUAAUUUAAAAGAUCAUGUAUAUGUAUAUUUGGUUAUGGCAAGUGCCAUUAAGAAUUUAUUAUAAAAUGUAUUUUGUGUCAAA